rnacentral:lncRNA from 1 species
UUGGGGUGUGAUCCUAUAUGUGAGAUUUUGCAAUAUCAAGCUACAAUAAAUCUCGUCAACAUUGUACCGAGUGUAAUGGUUAAUAUAAUAAAUUAUUAUAUAGGAAAGAAAAUGGUAAAAAUGUAAUCAAGAUUAGUUUUAACCUUUUAGUUGUAGAGAGUGGCUCGCAAAAGUAUGGUGCUCAUCUUUAUGUAUUUAGCUGUAUCUCUAAAAGGACUAAGGACUAAGUUGAUGUUUUGCUUAAAAAAAUUGGAUGGCGUAAAGUAAGAAGGGGGAAACAUGUUUGGCCCAUGAACAAUUCAUACAUGACAUCAAGAAACGAGCGAUCAAAUCGAAUGAAUAAUAUGCCUGUAUAAAAGCAUCUUGAUCUACUAACCCCAAAGUAACAAGUACCGCCAAUUAGUCAAUUGUACUUCAUUACAGAUUUUGAAUAAUAUCAUAUUAUGAUGCUAUCAUACCCAAUAUACAAACCAUCAAAUAUAUCAAAAUUAGAAAACAUAGAGAAUAUUAAUGACUUCU